AUUGAACGCUGGCGGCAUGCUUUACACAUGCAAGUCGAACGGCAGCGGGGAGGAGCUUGCUUCUCUGCCGGCGAGUGGCGAACGGGUGAGUAAUACAUCGGAACGUGUCGAGAAGAGGGGGAUAACCACCCGAAAGGGUGGCUAAUACCGCAUAAAUUCUGAGGAAGAAAGCUGGGGACCUAGGAAUAGGCCUAGCGCUUUUUGAGCGGCCGAUGUCGGAUUAGCUAGUUGGUGAGGUAAAGGCUCACCAAGGCGAAGAUCUGUAGCGGGUCUGAGAGGAUGAUCCGCCACACUGGGACUGAGACACGGCCCAGACUCCUACGGGAGGCAGCAGUGGGGAAUUUUGGACAAUGAGGGCAACCCUGAUCCAGCCAUGCCGCGUGUAUGAAGAAGGCCUUAGGGUUGUAAAGUACUUUUGUUAGGGAAGAAAAGUCAGCUGUGAAUAAUGGCUGAUACUGACGGUACCUAAAGAAUAAGCACCGGCUAACUACGUG
rnacentral:rRNA from 1 species